GCUCCUACGGGGCGCAGCAGUGGGGAAUCUUCCGCAAUGGACGAAAGUCUGACGGAGCAACGCCGCGUGAGUGAUGACGGCCUUCGGGUUGUAAAGCUCUGUUAAUCGGGACGAAAGGCCUUCUUGCGAAUAGUUAGAAGGAUUGACGGUACCGGAAUAGAAAGCCACGGCUAACUACGUGCCAGCAGCCGCGGUAAUACGUAGGUGGCAAGCGUUGUCCGGAAUUAUUGGGCGUAAAGCGCGCGCAGGCGGAUUGGUCAGUCUGUCUUAAAAGUUCGGGGCUUAACCCCGUGAUGGGAUGGAAA
rnacentral:rRNA from 1 species